GACGAACGCUGGCGGCGUGCUUAACACAUGCAAGUCGAACGGUGAAGGGGAGCUUGCUCCCCGGAUCAGUGGCGAACGGGUGAGUAACACGUGGGCAACCUGCCCCAGACUUCGGGAUAACGCUUCGAAAGAGGUGCUAAUACCGGAUACGAACUCCUUGGGCAUCCUUGGGGUUGGAAAGUUUUUCGGUCUGGGAUGGGCCCGCGGCCUAUCAGCUUGUUGGUGGGGUAACGGCUCACCAAGGCGACGACGGGUAGCCGGCCUGAGAGGGCGAACGGCCACACUGGGACUGAGACACGGCCCAGACUCCUACAGGAGGCAGCAGUGGGGAAUAUUGCGCAAUGGGCGAAAGACUGACGCAGCAACGCCGCGUGAGGGAUGACGGCCUUCGGGUUGUAAACCUCUUUCAGCAGGGAAGAAGCGAAAGUGACGGUACCUGCAGAAGAAGCACCGGCUAACUACGUGCCAGCCGCCGCGGUAAUAC
rnacentral:rRNA from 1 species